AUUUCUGACAUAUAAUACAGUAACAUGUAAAGUUACUGAUUAACUGCACCAGCCCGCAGUUCUCUAUAAAAGUAUCAGGUUUUCUUCCGCACAUGUUUAGCUGAAGUCAUCUUCUCAUCAGAUCACAAGAACGAAAUUCUUAUAAUAUCAGAUUCUGGUUUACAAUAUGUCAAACAUCGCUCUGGUGUUUCUGUCGGCCCUGUUCAUUAACUGGGCAUUUCCUCCUUCGACGGCUGAGGGUCGACUGAGAAAAUUCUACAUAAUAAACGGAACAAUGAAUAGAAGUUCUGCUGAGGAACAAUGCACAACAAACAACUACACUGGCCUCGUCACAGUCUACGACCACCAGGACAAUAUGAAACUAUCUGACCUAAUAAAAGAAACAUUUACUGGUGACAAUCCUAGUGGCUGGAUUGGUACUCAUGCAGGAAAUCGCAGUAAGAAAUGGUCAAACGGUGAUGAUGUCACAUUUAACAGAAGCUCUACAGGAGAUAAUGGGAAUAUCAGCUGUACUGCGAUGAAUGCCACUGGACACUGGGAAUCUCUCCCAUGUAGCAACCGAACAUACUUUAUGUGUUAUCAACAAGGUAAUAAAAUAUAACCUUAUAAAUAUUUAAUUUCACAAUUAAUUAAAACUAUAUAACUUUCUUGCAGCUGUAGGUGAUGAACGAUCAUACAUGUUAAUCCCUGAAUACAAAAACUGGUUUGCGGCUCAGCGAUACUGUCGAGAGAAUCACACUGAUCUAGUCAGUAUCAGAGAUGAAGAGGAGAAUGAACGAGUGAUGAUGAAAGGGGAAAACUGUACCAACUCUUUCUGGAUCGGCUUGCUGGAGGACGAGGUGGAGUGGGCUGAUAAAGGACAAUCUGCUUACAGAAACUGGGAUA